rnacentral:rRNA from 1 species
GAUGGACGCUGGCGGCGUGCCUAAUACAUGCAAGUCGAGCGAACAGACGAGGAGCUUGCUCCUCUGACGUUAGCGGCGGACGGGUGAGUAACACGUGGAUAACCUACCUAUAAGACUGGGAUAACUUCGGGAAACCGGAGCUAAUACCGGAUAAUAUAUUGAACCGCAUGGUUCAAUAGUGAAAGACGGUUUUGCUGUCACUUAUAGAUGGAUCCGCGCCGCAUUAGCUAGUUGGUAAGGUAACGGCUUACCAAGGCAACGAUGCGUAGCCGACCCGAGAGGGUGAUCGGCCACACUGGAACUGAGACACGGUCCAGACUCCUACGGGAGGCAGCAGUAGGGAAUCUUCCGCAAUGGGCGAAAGCCUGACGGAGCAACGCCGCGUGAGUGAUGAAGGUCUUCGGAUCGUAAAACUCUGUUAUUAGGGAAGAACAAAUGUGUAAGUAACUAUGCACGUCUUGACGGUACCUAAUCAGAAAGCCACGGCUAACUACGUG